GAGGUAGUUUAGCGGGUUAGAGUGUGGCAGUGAGAACGCCAAGGUCACAGGUUCUAUCCCUGUAUGGGACA